rnacentral:rRNA from 1 species
GCUUAACACAUGCAAGUCGAGGGGCAGCAUGGUCUUAGCUUGCUAAGGCCGAUGGCGACCGGCGCACGGGUGAGUAACACGUAUCCAACCUGCCGUCUACUCUUGGACAGCCUUCUGAAAGGAAGAUUAAUACAAGAUGGCAUCAUGAGUCCGCAUGUUCACAUGAUUAAAGGUAUUCCGGUAGACGAUGGGGAUGCGUUCCAUUAGAUAGUAGGCGGGGUAACGGCCCACCUAGUCUUCGAUGGAUAGGGGUUCUGAGAGGAAGGUCCCCCACAUUGGAACUGAGACACGGUCCAAACUCCUACGGGAGGCAGCAGUGAGGAAUAUUGGUCAAUGGGCGAGAGCCUGAACCAGCCAAGUAGCGUGAAGGAUGACUGCCCUAUGGGUUGUAAACUUCUUUUAUAAAGGAAUAAAGUCGGGUAUGCAUACCCGUUUGCAUGUACUUUAUGAAUAAGGAUCGGCUAACUCCGUGCCAGCAGCCGCGGUAAUACGGAGGAUCCGAGCGUUAUCCGGAUUUAUUGGGUUUAAAGGGAGCGUAGAUGGAUGUUUAAGUCAGUUGUGAAAGUUUGCGGCUCAACCGUAAAAUUGCAGUUGAUACUGGAUAUCUUGAGUGCAGUUGAGGCAGGCGGAAUUCGUGGUGUAGCGGUGAAAUGCUUAGAUAUCACGAAGAACUCCGAUUGCGAAGGCAGCCUGCUAAGCUGCAACUGACAUUGAGGCUCGAAAGUGUGGGUAUCAAACAGGAUUAGAUACCCCUGGUAGUCCACACGGUAAACGAUGAAUACUCGCUGUUUGCGAUAUACAGCAAGCGGCCAAGCGAAAGCGUUAAGUAUUCCACCUGGGGAGUACGCCGGCAACGGUGAAACUCAAAGGAAUUGACGGGGGCCCGCACAAGCGGAGGAACAUGUGGUUUAAUUCGAUGAUACGCGAGGAACCUUACCCGGGCUUAAAUUGCAGAUGAAUUACGGUGAAAGCCGUAAGCCGCAAGGCAUCUGUGAAGGUGCUGCAUGGUUGUCGUCAGCUCGUGCCGUGAGGUGUCGGCUUAAGUGCCAUAACGAGCGCAACCCUUGUUGUCAGUUACUAACAGGUUCCGCUGAGGACUCUGACAAGACUGCCAUCGUAAGAUGUGAGGAAGGUGGGGAUGACGUCAAAUCAGCACGGCCCUUACGUCCGGGGCUACACACGUGUUACAAUGGGGGGUACAGAGGGCCGCUACCACGCGAGUGGAUGCCAAUCCCCAAAACCUCUCUCAGUUCGGACUGGAGUCUGCAACCCGACUCCACGAAGCUGGAUUCGCUAGUAAUCGCGCAUCAGCCACGGCGCGGUGAAUACGUUCCCGGGCCUUGUACACACCGCCCGUCAAGCUAUGGGAGCCGGGGGUACCUGAAGUGCGUAACCGCGAGGAGCGCCCUAGGGUAAAACUGGUGACUGGGGCUAAGUC